GCCAGGUGUGGUGACGUGUGCCUAUAGUCCCAGCUACUUGGGAGGCUGAGGCAGGGUGAUCACUUGAGCCCAGGAGUUCGAGGCUGUAGUGAGCUAUGAUCGCGCCACUGCACUUUAGCUUGGGUGACAGAGUGAGACCCUGUGUCUA
rnacentral:SRP_RNA from 1 species